rnacentral:rRNA from 1 species
UGGGGAAUCUUCCGCAAUGGGCGAAAGCCUGACGGAGCAACGCCGCGUGAGUGAUGACGGCCUUCGGGUUGUAAAGCUCUGUGAUCGGGGACGAACGGUCAGCAGACGAAUACUCUGCUGAAGUGACGGUACCCGAAUAGCAAGCCACGGCUAACUACGUGCCAGCAGCCGCGGUAAUACGUAGGUGGCAAGCGUUGUCCGGAAUUAUUGGGCGUAAAGCGCGCGCAGGCGGCUUCUUAAGUCCAUCUUAAAAGUGCGGGGCUUAACCCCGUGAUGGGAUGGAAACUGGUCUUCUUGAGUGCAGGAGAGGAAAGCGGAAUUCCUAGUGUAGCGGUGAAAUGCGUAGAUAUUAGGAGGAACACCAGUGGCGAAGGCGGCUUUCUGGACUGUAACUGACGCUGAGGCUCGAAAGCGUGGGG